rnacentral:rRNA from 1 species
GACGAACGCUGGCGGCGUGCCUAAUACAUGCAAGUUGAGCGCUGAAGGUUGGUACUUGUACCAACUGGAUGAGCAGCAAACGGGUGAGUAACGCGUGGGGAAUCUGCCUUUGAGCGGGGGACAACAUUUGGAAACGAAUGCUAAUACCGCAUAAAAACUUUAAACACAAGUUUUAAGUUUGAAAGAUGCAAUUGCAUCACUCAAAGAUGAUCCCGCGUUGUAUUAGCUAGUUGGUGAGGUAAAGGCUCACCAAGGCGAUGAUACAUAGCCGACCUGAGAGGAUGAUCGGCCACAUUGGGACUGAGACACGGCCCAAACUCCUACGGGAGGCAGCAGUAGGGAAUCUUCGGCAAUGGACGAAAGUCUGACCGAGCAACGCCGCGUGAGUGAAGAAGGUUUUCGGAUCGUAAAACUCUGUUGGUAGAGAAGAACGUUGGUGAGAGUGGAAAGCUCAUCAAGUGACGGUAACUACCCAGAAAGGGACGGCUAACUACGUG